rnacentral:misc_RNA from 1 species
UGUCAGUAAUGUUACAAACUUAAAACAUGAAUUCGACAACAAUCAAGCUAGCCAGCAUAUUGACUGGACGUAGGUUCAGAGCAACUCCGUGCCGACUAGCAGUAACAUCACUCACCCACAGAGCUCAAGCAUCGCCACCAGCAGAGCAUACAGUGAAGGAACAAGGAUAAGUAGGAUGACGCUGUGAAGGUGAUGCCUCUGGUGAAACCAAACAGCGGUCCAGCCGGGCCCCAACCCCGCAAGCGCCGGCUUCACUUCACCACUUCACAUGGACGCCUCCACCACGGUCAUCAAGCGUACCGGAACACCAUCACCUGAAAACAAAUCAACUCCACUGCAUAUAGCCUGAAGACAUCAUCACCGCAUACCUCACCUUUGGGGCACUAGAGGCUGUGACACGCAGCCUACACGGCCCCAAGAAGAAGAAAGAUCAAUUCCCCACAGGAGAAGGAGAAUGUUGAAGUCAAGUUCCUACAGCAGGGCACAACUGAGAAGCUGCAGCGGUCAGCGAGACAGACGGUAUCAAUUGCAGUGCAAGGCUGUGGGUCGCUGGAUGCAUCAGAACUCAAAUACAAGUGGAGUUUUGAGAAGACACUGGAACACAUAAUAGCAGCAAGCCCUUAUGUAUGGUUGUAGCUAUGCUUAACUGAAGUCUUGUAUUGGUGGGUCAGGGUAGAAAUAAUAUUGGUAUACUGAUAGAGCACAAUGAUAUUCAUAAUCUUUAGGAACAAAAGAAUAUGGCGUAGGGCAAAAAGUAUUGCUAACAGUUCAAUAGUAAGGACGUUAGCCUUGAGAGGGAGAUGAUACUGGAAAGAGGUAUCAGGGAAAAGGACAGCUCAGCCCAUGUCAGCAGAAGACUUAGAACCAUCAGUAUAGACAUGGAUGCUAUCAGAAUGAGUAGGAAGGUGACCCAGGAAGUGGGAGCAAAGGACACGAGGAGUGGUAUCAGACUUCAGAGAGGUGAGGAAGACAGACAAGCAAAGGGAAAGAGGAGGGGAAAGCCAUAGAGGGAUAGAGGGAACAGAGAAUGGAAGUGGGUUGAGGGAGGGGGAAGGAGGAUGUGACAGGAGGGCAUAGGGGAGGGAUAAGUGAGGCUGGGAGGCAAAGACUGGAGACAGAGAGGAAAGAAUGUGCAAAGCUGAGGAGGAAAAGUGGAAAGAGUGGGUAUAACAAUAGAGAGAGAGGAGGGGCCAGUGACGGGGAAGGGAAGGCAGGACAGAUUCAGCAUACAAGCUCUCUACAGGGGAAGACUGAAAGGCACCAAGAGCAAGACAGAGACCAAAGUGAUGGAUAGGGUAGAGGAGACUGAGGACAGGGAGAGAGGUGGAGGAAUAGACAUGGCAGCUGUAAUCAAGGACUGAAAGGACGAGUACAGUAUGCAGUGAAAGCAAAGUCUUGCAGUUAGCACCCUAAGACACAUGGGAGAGGGUAUAUAGGAUGUGAAGUAGUGAAGGGCAGUAUCCUUGAGAGAGAGAACAUGUUGGUGUCAAGUGAGGUAAGAGUCAAACAUAAGACCAAGAAACUUGCCUGACUUAUGGUACUCAAGAGGGGUACCAUUAAAAAGGAGAGGGGGCGACCAG